rnacentral:tRNA from 1 species
GCCUCGGUAGCUCAGUUGGAUAGAGCAGGAGACUUCUAAGCUCAAGGUCGGGGGUUCGAUUCCCUCCCGAGGCACCA